CUUCACCUCAGUCUUGAGCCAGAACAUCCAGGAUGCCAUAGCUGGAGGAACAGACAAAGCUGCACCAAUACCUGGUUCGUACUCAUUUAUAGUUGACUGGACUAGUGCAAGUUGCUUUCCAGUAACAAACCGGUUGAUUAUGCAAGAGAUAUACCCGAAAUCCGAUAUUCAAAAUAUAAAUUUCUACGUUUUAGAUGUCAGAGAUUACGAAUAUGCCAAAAAAAA